UACGUAGGGUGCAAGCGUUAAUCGGAAUUACUGGGCGUAAAGCGUGCGCAGGCGGUUAUGCAAGACAGAUGUGAAAUCCCCGGGCUCAACCUGGGAACUGCAUUUGUGACUGCAUGGCUAGAGUACGGUAGAGGGGGAUGGAAUUCCGCGUGUGGCAGUGAAAUGCGUAGAUAUGCGGAGGAACACCGAUGGCGAAGGCAAUCCCCUGGACCUGUACUGACGCUCAUGCACGAAAGCGUGGGGAGCAAACAGG
rnacentral:rRNA from 1 species